rnacentral:rRNA from 1 species
UACGUAGGGUGCGAGCGUUAAUCGGAAUACUGGGCGUAAAGCGUGCGCAGGCGGUGAUGUAAGACAGUUGUGAAAUCCCCGGGCUCAACCUGGGAAUUGCAUCUGUGACUGCAUAGCUAGAGUACGGUAGAGGGGGAUGGAAUUCCGCGUGUAGCAGUGAAAUGCGUAGAUAUGCGGAGGAACACCGAUGGCGAAGGCAAUCCCCUGGACCUGUACUGACGCUCAUGCACGAAAGGCGUGGGGAGCAAACAGG